AUAGUUUUUUUGUAUUUCAGACAAACACAGAAUCCAAAUGAUUGGAAGAAAAAGAAAACUUGUACACCAAGUGCAUCUGCUAGCAGGGAGACUGUUGAUUCUGAAGGUGCUACAAUUCCUGGUGAAUUUUGCCAAUACACGAUUCAGCUCGAGGACGACCUGGCAUAUCUUCACCUGCUGAAAGCACAUAAUGCUGUAACACCUUUGGAUGAAUUCUACCGUGCUUUUGUAAUGCAAGAUUUCAACUUCACAACAAAGAGCUUAAAGGAUGAAUUUCUCAUUAUUCGACGUCAAGCGACCAAAGUUCCUGAAGGAUACUUGUGGUUGUAUGGAUGUAGCUGUAAUUUGGCACGGCAAACGAUGCUUAAUUCAGUUUCCUUUUCACUAUCAGGACCUGUUGAAGAUUUUGACCAUCCUUACAACAAGUGUUACCAUAUUGAAGCCAUGGAAAACAUUGCAUCUCAGUUUACAGAUGUCAACUUGGAAAAUGUAUUUAAUAGACGUAACUUUGGUUUAUUACCACUUAAAUAUGCUUUUCAUGCCCCCUUCUUCGAAGAAGAGGGGUUUAUUGUUUUUGGUUUGUCAUUCUGUCUGUCUGUCUGUCCAAAACUUUAACCUUGUUUAAAGUUUUGUCAUAAGUUUUGCAAUAUUGAACAUAGCAACUUAAUAUUUGGCAUGCAUGUAUAUCUCAUGGAGCUGCACAUUUUAAGUGGUGAAACACCAAGGUCAUCCUUCAAGGUCAAAGGUCAAAAAACACAUUGCAAGGGAAGUAAUAAGCUUUAAAGGGAGAUAAUGUCUA